CUUCAUCUUCUAAGCAUUUGUACAGUGAGGCAGAGAAGACUUCUUAACACCUCCACAAAGUUUUUAUCUUCUACAUUUUGGGCUGACGGUUCACAUUAUGUACACAAGACUGGUAACUGAUUCAGAGGAUACGAUGUCACAGUCCAGCGGUGCAAGUGUUAUUAUAUUGACACUGACUGAAAGGCUUCAUGGCCAAGAGGGGCUGUCCGAGAUCAAGUCUUAGCUUAGAGAAACUCAGAAACCAGAACUUCCUUUCUUCCAUCACCAGAAGGUUCAUCUCAUCAACUCUUGUUACUGAAACAGCAUCUUCCAUGGCCAAGAAUUGAACACUGCAACUUAGUGAACUUCCUCUAUCGUGUCCAGACAAUAUGGAGUGCUUUUCCUGAAUUACAUGUUCAUCAAGAAUCACAACUGCAUUCACCUGACAGUUAGGAUUACAGUAUCAUAUCGGCCAGGCCAUCACUUCUGCAAUCUUCACCAGCAAAGGAGGCAGAUAUUCUGUGGCUUCGUACUGGGGCACCUUGGAACACACUUUCUGUGGUUUGUUUGGCCCUGCUGAACAUGACAAACUGGACAUAAGAAGGCAUUAUAAGUACUGGGUGAAUGCUCAUGUCUUUGCUGCCCAUUGGAACAGUGUUAAAAUAAAGCUCCUUUUGACACGCUUAGGUGUAAACAUCGUUUCCAGGUAGGAAAGUGUUCUGAAGAUUUUUAAGCCAGGUGAUUUUAAAAAUGCUCCCUUUGAAACAAAAGGACCUCAGCAGGGAUUUUGGCUGAUGCAUUUGUGAGGCAAAGGGGAAUAUAUCAGCAUGACUUAGCCUCUGGCUCCCGAGGAUGGUUUCACGCGUGGGAAAUGCGGCUGCGAGAGCACCGGCCAAGGCGCGCUGAUGCGGGCGCUGUCCGUG
ensembl:lncRNA